rnacentral:rRNA from 1 species
UACGUAGGGGGCAAGCGUUGUCCGGAAUCAUUGGGCGUAAAGCGCGUGUAGGCGGCCCGUUAAGUCCGCUGUGAAAGUCGGGGGCUCAACCCUCGAAUGCCGGUGGAUACUGUCGGGCUAGAGUGCGGAAGAGGCGAGUGGAAUUCCUGGUGUAGCGGUGAAAUGCGCAGAUAUCAGGAGGAACACCAAUGGCGAAGGCAGCUCGCUGGGACGUUACUGACGCUGAGACGCGAAAGCGUGGGGAGCAAACAGG